rnacentral:rRNA from 1 species
UACGGGGGGAGCAAGCGUUGUUCGGAUUUACUGGGCGUAAAGGGCGCGUAGGCGGCCACCGCAAAUCGACUGUGAAAUCUCCGGGCUUAACCCGGAAAGGUCAGCCGAUACUGCGGGGCUAGAGUGCAGAAGGGGCAACUGGAAUUCUCGGUGUAGCGGUGAAAUGCGCAGAUAUCAGGAGGAACACCGGUGGCGAAGGCGGUUCUCUGGGCAUUACCUGACGCUGAGGAGCGAAAGUGUGGGGAGCGAACAGG